ACACUGCAAUUGAAAGGUACAAGGCUUUACAAAACCAUAAGGCUACAGAAUUUGGUGAUGUCUUCCUUAAAGAACUGACAAAUGAGGACACUGAGAAAGAUUCCAUUACUUGCUCAAGGUCACACAAAAAACAACCAAAAAAAGGAAGAGUCAGGCUUCAAACCCAUGCAUGCUGGCUCCAGUUCUGUGCUGGAAACUACUCCACUAAAGGCAGGCGCUCCCUCUCCUCAUGAGAGCAGCUCCUUAUGCCACGUAAACAGAACACCUGGCAAACCUGGCCAACCAGUUCACUGCACCUUCCAGGUUAGUCUGCAACCGCAGCCCACUGCAUGGACAUCACACGCUUGAACUGGCUUCAGCCACAAGAAAUUGGCUACAUAUAUUCAGCAAUCCUUACCAUUUUGUUCCUGCGCUGAUGAAAUUGUUCAGAUGGUAACAACACAACCAGUGUUAUUGUCAUCACAAGGAAAGAUGAAAGGGGGAAGAUAAACAUGAAUAAGAGUGGUUACCAAUGCCAAUAUUCUUCCAGACCAAUGCCAGUGCCAAGGAAAUGACUCUUUCUGAUUAGAAAAUAAAUGGAAAUUGAAGAUCUGUCACAAUGUAUCCAGUAGAACUGCACAAAGCAAAAUAAUUCUUCAACUCUGUGAUGAAAGGAUGAGCUCCCUCUGUGAUCAUCACUUCCUGGGAUUGAAGAGUUCAUGGUUGUGUGGUUUGAAAUUAAACUGAGUUCAAAAGUGUGAAUUUUUUUUUUCUAUUUAUCUGUUGAGGGAAGAAAACUGAAAGGACCAUACCAGUAAGAUAAAUUUGUAUGACUAUGCAGCAUAAGUCACCAUUAGUAGCUUAAGUAAGUAACUUCUCAUAUCAUUAUAUUACGUAGAAGUCCAUACAAUUAAAACAGAGACAUUAUUGUGAUUUUAGUCUACAUAUUUUGAUCUUUAGUAUUCUGUUAUAUCAUUAUUAUAUUCAUGUUGCUGAGUAUAUAUGAAAAUUUCCUAAAUGUAUUAUUGGAGGCUAUGACAUAUAGCAGUCAUUGCUAGUUUAUAUAGAAUAUUAAAUAAAAAUAACAGGAAACAGGGAAACAUUUUUAUGGUAAAUUAAGUGGCAGAUGUAAAAAAGAACAUCUUUGUGGCUACUUCCAAGAGUUUAAUACUGAGAUAGAAAAACGUGGUGUUAUUCAUCAAAAACAUAGCAUGUUUAUGGAUGGGUGGGAGAUUACAUGUAUCUCCUCCAACUUUCUGCAAUGGUAAAUACAGGCUAAUAAGAAAUAAUAAAACAAUAACAGCAUGGAUUUCAGAUAGGAAAA